GACCUCGGAUUAGGUAGGAAUACCCGCUGAACUUAAGCAUAUCAAUA
rnacentral:rRNA from 1 species